UGGAUUACACUUCAGGAUGUAGGAUUCGAUUCAAACUUUGAAGUGUCCUCUGACUUCGCAUCUGAAAACAUGUAUGGAUAUGCACUCAUGAGGGGCGAGAGGACAAAUGUCCUCCUGUGUGUCCUAUAAUUCAAAUGCACCCAUCCUCAGCCCCUCUCUGUUACUUCCUACAACCUCAGUAGAACCU
rnacentral:sRNA from 1 species